rnacentral:rRNA from 1 species
CGGACGGGUGAGUAACGCGUGGAAAACCUGCCGUAUACUGGGGGAUAACACUUAGAAAUAGGUGCUAACACCGCAUAAGCGCACAGCUUCGCAUGAAGUGGUGUGAAAAACUCUGGUGGUAUACGAUGGUUCCGCGUCUGAUUAGCUUGUUGGCGGGGUAAUGGCUCACCAAGGCGACGAUCAGUAGCCGGCCUGAGAGGGUGAACGGCCACAUUGGGACUGAGACACGGCCCAAACUCCUACGGAAGGCAGCAG